UCCUUAGAUGUUCUGGGCGGCCCGCGCACUACAUUGGCACUCUCAAUAAGUUCCUAGAUCUAAAACUUUGGGGUAUUCUAUUAAGUGGUGUCGUGACUGGGAUUAACCCUUGCAAUUAUUGGUUACGAACGAGGAAUUCCUUGUAAUCGCGGUUUAUCAGCCCGCGUUGAAUGCGUCCCUGCCCUUUGUACACACCGCCCGUCGCUCCUACCGAUGAAUCGUCCGGUGAAGUUCAUGGAGUGGUGGUUGUUCCAGCUGCUGUCGAAGUGAAAUGGACCUCACGAUUUAGAGGAAGGAGAAGUCGUAACA
rnacentral:rRNA from 1 species